rnacentral:lncRNA from 1 species
CUCUUCUCUUUUAUAGUUUUUUUCAUAAUGCGAAUUCCUUGGUCUUGUGUAGCCUCUCCCUUGUGGAAUCAGAUAAAAGACCUUGGUUGAAUCCCAAAUGGCAUCCUAUUUGCUACGUAGAGCCCCAUGUCCUGGGGAGAGAGCCCAGCCCUGGAGGUAGCUAUGUCCUGGGGAGAGAGACCAGCCCUGGAGGUAGCUAUGUCCUGGGAAGAGACCAGCCCUGGAGGUAGCUAUGUCCUGGGAAGAGACCAGCCCUGGAGGUAGCUAUGUCCUGGGGAGAGAGACCAGCCCUGGAGGUAGCUAUGUCCUGGGGAGAGAGCCCAGCCCCAGGAGAGAAGAGUGGGGGCAACAGAGAGAGAGAAACAGAGAGAGGAAAAGGGAGAGUAAGAUAGAAAGAAACCACCUAAAAGGAAGCAAUUCCCAAACCUUCCAUAACAAAGCCAUCACCUACAGAG